rnacentral:rRNA from 1 species
CAAGUCGAACGCGGCUUAGUAGCAAUACUAACUGUAGUGGCGAACGGGUGAGUAACACGUGGGUGACCUACCUUCGAGUGGGGGAUAACGUCCCGAAAGGGACGCUAAUACCGCAUAACAUCCUGUCCUUGAACGGAUGGAGAUCAAAGCCGGGGAUCGUAAGACCUGGCGCUUGGUGAGGGGCCCGCGUCCGAUUAGCUAGUUGGUGAGGUAAUGGCUCACCAAGGCAACGAUCGGUAGCCGGCCUGAGAGGGCGGACGGCCACACUGGGACUGAGACACGGCCCAGACUCCUACGGGAGGCAGCAGUGGGGAAUUGUUCGCAAUGGGCGCAAGCCUGACGACGCAACGCCGCGUGGAGGAUGAAGGUCUUCGGAUUGUAAACUCCUGUUGCCCGGGACGAAUGACUACGACCUAACACGUCGUGGUGUGACGGUACCGGGUGAGGAAGCCCCGGCUAACUCUGUGCCAGCAGCCGCGGUAAUACAGAGGGGGCAAGCGUUGUUCGGAAUUACUGGGCGUAAAGGGCGCGUAGGCGGCCUGUUAAGUCGAACGUGAAAUCCCCGGGCUCAACCCGGGAACUGCGUCCGAUACUGGCAGGCUUGAAUCCGGGAGAGGGAUGCGGAAUUCCAGGUGUAGCGGUGAAAUGCGUAGAUAUCUGGAGGAACACCGGUGGCGAAGGCGGCAUCCUGGACCGGCAUUGACGCUGAGGCGCGAAAGCCAGGGGAGCAAACGGGAUUAGAUACCCCGGUAGUCCUGGCCCUAAACGAUGAAUGCUUGGUGUGGCGGGUAUCCAUCCCUGCCGUGCCGAAGCUAA